AUAACUCAUAGCUCAUCUCUGUGGAUCCCUGAUUUCUCUCUCAUUCCCCUCAGGCAGAGGCAUCCAUGUUUCCUUAUCUACAAUAUGGGGAUGAUAAUAAGAAUUCCGACUUCUGGAGGCUGUUUUGAAGAUAAAAUGUGAUAAUGCAUCCAGACCUUCUGAAGAUGAAAGGAAGCGAGUUUAAGAGGGCUAGAGCGAGUCCAGUUGGAUUUGACGUUGACCGAAGAGGAGAUCGCCCAGAUGCUAUUGAUCACCAGCACUCAGCAGCACACACACCCUUUGGUGUGCAUCACUUCAAGCAAGCAGAAGUGUGCCC
ensembl:lncRNA